rnacentral:lncRNA from 1 species
AUGAUAAUUUUGUCUCUAGGGGGCAUUUAUAAGGAACUAUUUAUAGUGGUGGAAGUCUUUAUCUGGAUUAUGUUUUUAUUAAGCUUCUUCUAUUGGGUAGAGUUGGUGACAUUUACGUCAGUAUAUAUUUUCCAAUGUAGGAAAGCUUUUCCCUUUACAUCUGCAACAAGAUUUCACCUGUAUGGACCAUUACCUGGAAGCUACCUCCUCUUUGUCUGUUAGCUGGAGACUGGAGUUAGAAGAUGCUGACAAAAUAGUGUAUCAGACAGUGUGGAUGAUUACUUGGAUUCUGAGAGAUGAAAGAAGCCCUCCGAUUCUUCCCAGUGGGUUAAGCUUCUCACUGGAAGUUGAAUAACCAGGUAGUAUAUUUAAGCUGUAAAACUGCCUCUGGCUUCUCCUACCCCAUACUGAAUAAAC